rnacentral:rRNA from 1 species
GGGGCUAAUGCCGGGUAAUACUUUUCUUCGCAUGAAGGAAAGUUGAAAGAUGGCUUCUUGCUAUCACUUACAGAUGGGCCCGCGGCGCAUUAGCUAGUUGGUGAGGUAACGGCUCACCAAGGCGACGAUGCGUAGCCGACCUGAGAGGGUGAUCGGCCACACUGGGACUGAGACACGGCCCAGACUCCUACGGGAGGCAGCAGUAGGGAAUCUUCCGCAAUGGACGAAAGUCUGACGGAGCAACGCCGCGUGAACGAUGAAGGUCUUCGGAUCGUAAAGUUCUGUUGUUAGGGAAGAACAAGUACCGUGCGAAUAGAGCGGUACCUUGACGGUACCUAACGAGGAAGCCCCGGCUAACUACGUGCCAGCAGCCGCGGUAAUACGUAGGGGGCAAGCGUUGUCCGGAAUUAUUGGGCGUAAAGCGCGCGCAGGCGGUUCCUUAAGUCUGAUGUGAAAGCCCACGGCUCAACCGUGGAGGGUCAUUGGAAACUGGGGAACUUGAGGACAGAAGAGGAGAGUGGAAUUCCACGUGUAGCGGU